AAGGAAAAGGAAGCAGAGACUCUUAACCCUUUUCUCAUACAACUACGACGGGGAGUGUCCUUGCUAUCGCACUUAGGUCGCUGUCUUGGAUGGAAAGGAUGGGUACAGAUCCUAAAACAGCAUUGCCACACUUCAAUCAAAUUCAAAGUGCUCUCUUUGUUGCUGUGCCACUGAAAGAAGCUGACAGUCCCUACAUGCCACAGAUAUGAGGUAAAGGAACUCCUGCGUGAUCUUCCAGUCCCUUUUGAUCUUGUAGGAAGAAUGUGGCAUGUUUAAACUGUACUGCUGCUCUGGUGGCCCUUGGCUUUCAGGGUCUGCUUCAGCAGCUUGGAGUGGUUCAGUGCUGCCCACCUCAGCCUAAACCAAAGAUGUGUGCCUACGUAUGGGCAAUACUAACUUUAAGAAAUUUCUUGCUGUGGUAAAAUACUGAGACUGAGUAUAGCACUCUUUGAAUGCAGUCUGUGCAUUUUUCUAUUGUCAAAGAAAAUUGUACAAAAAUUGGCACAUUUCACAAUAUUUUCAUAAGUUACCAGCUCCUGUGAAAACUUUUGAAUCAGUGCUAACAACUGAGUUUUAGAAGACACGAUGAAAUCCUACUAGGAUCCUGGGGGGGGCGUGUUACAAGAAAGCAUUUCUUAGUUAAAAGUAUAAAGUGUGUAGUAAAAUUAGCUUGUCCUGCAGCAAUCAUUUCUUAGUUAAAAGUAUAAAGUGUGUAGUAAAAUUAGCUUGUCCUGCAGCAAUCUCCACUACAAUUAGGUGUCAUUAAUAAUACACUGUUGAAAAAGUUUGCAUAAGAAAUCCAGAGCAUUAAUAUUUUAUUGUCACUAAUAGGCUUUGAUUUCAGUUCACGUUUUCUGACUCAAGCAAGGGAAAAGCAGUUUUUAACAGUGUUUUUUCCAUAUGAGUAGAGAAGUAUUAAUCAUUUUCUCAGGAAAACCCCCAGGGGAACUAGCACACGGGUAAGGCUUACAUUCAGGCUUGUUUCUCAUUCAGGUUUGUUCUGAUUAGCCUUAUGUGGGCCUUUUCCUUGAAAUUCAGCAUGUGAAAUCUUGUCCUGACAAAGCCCGAGACACAAAUUCCUUGGUUGUAUUUGGAAUGAAAUUCUGACCCUAUUAAUAAUCAAAGGUUUGACAAAUGCCAAAGUGCUGACUGAGCUCUGAACACAAAAGCUCAUUCCUUAUAACCAAUUUCUAACAGCUAAUCACUGGAGUCCUUUGCAGUAGCUGGAAAUGCAGCCCCAGAAAAUGUUCACCUGUGUAACUUUAUCAAAAGUAGUCACGUGGACUUUGGUGAUGACUCACAGUGGCUGCUAGAGUUUAAUACAGAAGAGGAAUCUGUCAAAUAAAAAUCAGAGCAGAAGGUAAUAUUUUUGUGUU
rnacentral:lncRNA from 1 species